UACAGAGGAUGCAAGCGUUAUCCGGAAUGAUUGGGCGUAAAGCGUCUGUAGGUGGCUUUUUAAGUCCGCCGUCAAAUCCCAGGGCUCAACUCUGGACAGGCGGUGGAAACUACCAAGCUGGAGUACGGUAGGGGCAGAGGGAAUUUCCGGUGGAGCGGUGAAAUGCGCAGAUAUCGGGAAGAACACCCGUGGCGAAGGCGGUCUCUGGGACGGUACUGACGCUGAGACGCGAAAGCGUGGGGAGCGAACAGG
rnacentral:rRNA from 1 species